ensembl:lncRNA
CACACACACACACACACACACACGUGUGAGCCAGCUCCAUACAGAUCCAGUGGUUCUGGCGUGCCCUGCGCUCCUUCGACCAAGCCGACCGGGCCAAAUUCCUGCAGUUUGUCACGGGCACGUCCAAGGUGCCCCUGCAGGGCUUCGCCGCUCUGGAGGGCAUGAACGGCAUCCAGAAGUUCCAAAUUCACCGUGACGACCGCUCCACUGACCGCCUGCCCUCUGCGCACACUUGCUUUAAUCAGCUGGACCUUCCAGCAUACGAGAGCUACGAGAAGCUGAGACACAUGCUGCUGAUGGCCAUUCAGGAAUGCUCAGAGGGCUUCGGACUGGCCUAGAGACUUUCCUUACACACGUACACAUACACACACACAUGCAUUCACAGACACACACACAAACAUCAUACACAUGUACUGACACACACACACACACAGGUUUAGACUCAUAUUGUUAACUUAUGACACAGAACACACAUGCAUAUUCACACUAUCGUAGACAUGGCCAAGAUCUAUUUGUUUGUAAUACAUAUAAACCAGACGGCAUUGGAGAGAUGAUGCAAGCGAAUAAGAGCGACUUAUUGACAUUUGCCUACUACACACAGAGCCUCACACAGACACACAGAACUGUAUUUGGUAUGUUUGUGUGUCUCCCUUUCCCUAUUAAAUUGCAAAACCUGAGAGACGAUAUGGAGGAUAAUACUUGGACUAAUAUGAGAAGAAGAAAAAAAAAAAGAAAAAAAAAUAUGUUUCUCCAUUUAGUUUUUCUCUGUACAAAAGGUUUGGGAGUUUAUUAUGUUUAAUCUUUUUUUUUUUUUUUUUUUUUUUUUUUCCUUUUGGCUGUGUAAAAAAAAAAUGACAAAAAAGACAAAAGGUUGUGCGUGUGAAAGGAUGGAUAUAAAACACUUGGGGGAAAACCGCUGAUUGUCCUCUGCUAAUUUGUGACCUCAUGGUGAGCUUGGAACAGGGGAUAGUCAGUGUGUGGUGCGGAACAGGAGAUGCGAAUGCAGGGACUUUUCAAAGGGUGACAUUUUUAAGGCAACUUCUGUGGUAUUUUUGGGG